GGGCCUGUAGCUCAGUCGGUUAGAGCAGAGGACUCAUAAUCCUUUGGUCGAGGGUUCGAGUCCCUCCGGGCCCACCA
rnacentral:tRNA from 1 species